rnacentral:rRNA from 1 species
UGAACGCUGGCGGCGUACCUAAUACAUGCAAGUCGAGCGAACGGACGAGAAGCUUGCUUCUCUGAUGUUAGCGGCGGACGGGUGAGUAACACGUGGAUAACCUACCUAUAAGACUGGGAUAACUUCGGGAAACCGGAGCUAAUACCGGAUAAUAUUUUGAACCGCAUGGUUCAAAAGUGAAAGACGGUCUUGCUGUCACUUAUAGAUGGAUCCGCGCUGCAUUAGCUAGUUGGUAAGGUAACGGCUUACCAAGGCAACGAUGCAUAGCCGACCUGAGAGGGUGAUCGGCCACACUGGAACUGAGACACGGUCCAGACUCCUACGGGAGGCAGCAGUAGGGAAUCUUCCGCAAUGGGCGAAAGCCUGACGGAGCAACGCCGCGUGAGUGAUGAAGGUCUUCGGAUCGUAAAACUCUGUUAUUAGGGAAGAACAUAUGUGUAAGUAACUGUGCACAUCUUGACGGUACCUAAUCAGAAAGCCACGGCUAACUACGUG